GGGACCAGGUCAAUUAGGUGAUAGCAUAGGAACUCUUAAUAUGAAAGUGAUCUUUGUUGUCUCUUCAUGGUUUCUAUGCAUUGAUUAUUGAAAAAUGAUCUUGAGAUCUUGAAAAUGAAUUUAAAGAGGAGAAAAGUUUUGAAUGUUACUUCCCCACUUGCUAGCGCCAAUUAUCUAUGUGGAGUUGAAGCACGUUAAGUAAUACCUGGAGUGAAUUUUG
rnacentral:lncRNA from 1 species